CUACGGAUGGUGCGAGCGUUGUUCGGAAUUACUGGGCGUAAAGGGCGCGUAGGCGGCGAUGUAAGUCAAAUGUGAAAGUCCUCGGCUUAACCGGGGAAGUGCAUCUGAAACUGCAUUGCUUGAGUAUGGGGGAGGAAAGUGGAAUUCCCGGUGUAGAGGUGAAAUUCGUAGAGAUCGGGAGGAAUACCGGUGGCGAAGGCGACUUUCUGGACCAAUACUGACGCUGAGGCGCGAAAGCGUGGGGAGCAAACAGGAUUAGAAACCCUAGUAGUCC
rnacentral:rRNA from 1 species